GCCCACCCCCAGCCCCAGUGCCAGAACACAGCCUGAACGGGGAAAACAGAAAGCACUUCUCCAUUUAUUACUGUCUUACAAACAUUGUAACAACGGCAAGAAUAAAGGUUAGAGGAGCCACCAGCAGCCGUUGCAUGUUCUCUUCGUCCUCAGUCAACAUCUCACCUGGCCAUGUUCUUUACAUGGCAGCAUGACUCAAACCUUCCUUCAAAAUUCAUUAGAAGCAUCAGCUCUGCCCUCCAGCUGUUCUGCUCCAGACUGUCAUCCCUGACAGCUGCUCUACAGGGUAUCACGGCACACACCGCAGUGCAUCCUGAUGUCUGGCUUCCGGGAACUCCAACGUGUCAACAGAAAAGAUGAUCCGAGAUGGGCCUAAUCAGAGAGAGGCACUAACUCUUGGAAGGCAGCUGCCAUGCUUUGAGGAAACCCAAAUUCUCCCACACAAAGAGACACAUG
rnacentral:lncRNA from 1 species